AAAACAUCACACCUAAAGAGAAAAAAAAGCUUCAAAAACUCUCAAUAUAGGUUGUCUCAUAGAAAACCCCUUUUGUUUUCAAUUACGGGAAACAUUGCCUUCCAUGUUCACCCGCCAAUUAGUACUAGCGCCCAAAAAGAAUUGUUUCAGUCGCAACGAGCUUGUUACGUGUCGAGGAAGGGUUGGCCAAUCGCCACACUCUUUCUAAAACCAAUCAUGUAGAAGAGCUAGGUCUUGACACGUGUCCGAAAGAACUUCACUAUCGCCAACAACCUGUGUGGAAUUCCUUGUCACACAUCACUCUUCUCCCAAAAGCCAGAGUCGUUAAUCUGGUCUCCAAGACUCAUCUACUACAUAGCUUACCUACUAGCUAGGACUGCAUUCUUCAUCACCAAUCCUGACUCGACGCUUGGCAAAUGUAUAUUCACUUUAAUUAUUUUCCUUUCUUUCUUUUUUCUCACCAAUAAUAAUGAUACCAUUAUAGUCAUUUCAAAUUGAGUUUUUUUUAAUAAUGAACAAUAAUUCAUAGUUUUAUUAAAAGACGGUAAUUAGUAAAGUUAUUCAUUUUAGAAUAUUUUAUUGUGAUAGUUUCUUAAAUUUUUUCUAAAAUUAAAUAUAGAUGGAGGAGGAUAGUAGCUUUGAUGUCUCUUCCUUUUUGUAUCAGGCAAAUAGUCGAUGUACGACUAGUCUCAUCUCUUUGCUAUGGAUUUCAUCUAUUUCUAAAAUAUUUUUUCAUCACUUUAACCCAUUUAUGGUAUUUAAAUAGUCUAGUCGUGAUCAUUGUCUUCUCUCUUUUUCUACUCUAGAGGAAAGUCAGUUUAUGACCACUAUCAUCUAUUUGCUAUUAAUUCCAUUCAAUAUAACUUAGUUGUGACAUUUGAAUAGUCUUAUCAUGGUCCAUGUUGUCUCCUCACUUCUGCCUUAAGCGAAAUGCUGGUCUACGACUAAUGUCAUCUCUAAAAUAAAAAAUUAGGACGUGACAAAUCAAUAUUUUCAUUCAAUAUAACUAGAAGCUAGGUUUCAUUUAUCCUAAAAUAAUUAAAUAUUUUUAUAAGCAUCUAUAUAUAAAAAAUAUUUUCAUUUAUCCUUUUUAUAUAAAAAAUAUGGAAGGUAUUUCUUUAAUUCCAACCAUAGUCAAAUCAAAUUAAUCAAUCUUAAACUCCUAAUUACUUGGUCUUGAUUCUCUAAGACAUAUAGGGAUAUACACGAACAACAUUAAUUCUUGUCACACACAUUAAUAAAAGAUAAAUAAUUUAUUUUAACAAUUUAAUUUUAAUAAAUCAAUGGUAUUUAGUUCAUGCAAUUAGUUAGGUUAUCAUUUUAUUAUGGGCGAACAUAAUGCUAAUACCUUCCUCGAUCCAUAAUCGACUUUUGACAUCUAAAUCUCUAACCCAAAUAACAUUUUAUCCAAUUUGUGCUUAAAUAGAUUUUUCUAAUUUUUACCGCAAAAAAAAUUGUGGCGACUCGAAAAAGUAGUGUAACCAAAAAUUAGGACGUGACAACCAAUCCAAUCAACACAACAACCUCCAUCAUCAACACAACAACCUCCAUCAUCAACACAACCAUCAUCAUUAUCAUCAUCAAUUCAUGCAGCCUCACCACUCGCAUAAGCUAAUUCGCCAUAACAAGGCACAACCCCAUCACCCAAGUCUGCCCCCUUCAAAACAUUGUUCCACUCAUAGAGCAUCAUCAUUUGUCUCUCAUUCCCCAUAAUUCCAUUCUGGACUCAGAAAAUCCAGUUCAUACUUCUAUAACAACUAUUCUCGAAUGGGAGACUGAAUCUCAACCUCCACCUCAACCUAGCCUCUCUGCCUCCUCCGUUGCACCACUUUAUUACGUUUACCCAUCCGUCCAUUCAUCAAGGAUAGGAUGAAUUAUUUGUUGCUCCGGUCUCCUAGAAGGAAGAUCAUUAGUCACUGAUUUAAACUGUAAACAUCGCAAGAGCACAACAAUAAGAAUUUCAAAACAAGGUAAUGGCUCAACUAGUUGUUACGCAAACAACUUUGUUUGAUCUUUUUAGACUUAGAUUUGUUUUAGGUUUACACUUUGUGUCAAAUAAUGUAUUUUCCAUAAUGUUAUUCUAUUGAACAAGUUUUUCUUUAAUGAAACUUCCUUUUGACUUAUGUUUUCUUUCUCUACCCUUAUGUUUUCUUAUUUGAAAUUCAAACAUUAACAUAUCUAAGAUCUAUAUAUCUUUUCAGAGAUAGUUUUAAUGAUCUUUACAUUUGUAUCAUAUUUUAAAUAACAUUCAAAAUCACAACAAAUAUCUUUUAUCAUAAAAAAGGAGAAUGGCACUACAAGAAUAUAUCCUAUUAGCCACGGUUUAUGGGCUACACUUAAUGGCCCGUGUCAAAACUAAUUCUAAAACCCAUACACUUGUUACUCUGAUUGGGCCAGUAGCAAAAAAAGUACCAAAACUUGUCACUUCUACUCUCACUCUUUUUGUCAUUGUUUCUCACUUACUCUCAUUGAUUCUCUCUACUCACUCAUUAUCAUUUCUCAUUCAAGCAAUUUUUUCACUUUUGGAAGCAAUUUCUCUCAUUAUUCAACUUAAUUGAUGAAAGUUUGAAUUGAUUGUCCAGAUUUUAAAGUUCACCUGCAAGAAUCAUGUCCACUUCAUCUACCUUCGACGAAGACGACAAAUCCCUGCGAUGAAUGUCAUCGAAAAUCAACAAUUUCGAUUUGAUCAUUUGAUGUUGAACCAUAACUAAAUCCAUUUCUUCGCCGGAAAGAUGUGUUUCGCCAUCAUCAGCGCCGAUGGUACGACGGAAGAAAGCCUUUUUCAAAGAUAUUGACAAGUUUAUCUUAAUUUCACUAACUCAAAUCAAAGCUUCUUCUAAG
rnacentral:lncRNA from 1 species